UAAGAGGUAUUCCGUACCCGUGCUCCUCUGCAGUAGCUGACGGCGGUGCUCGGCAUCCAGAAAGCUCCAGGCUCCAGCUCCUUAGGAGGCGGCGUGAAGGAGGGUGAGGCUGGUUCUGCGGCAGAGAGCCACCUGCUGCCGCUCUGGGCACGACAGGAAAGGGGCCACCUGCUCCACUCGCCCUCCAGGCUUCUGGGAAACCUUUCCUUCUCCGUUGUGCUGGAGAAGCCAGCUGGGGUCUCCUGUGGGGGACAUCUACGUCGGGCCCCCUCUGCCUCCCUGCAGAAGGCGGUGCCAAGGCACCAGGCUGUGAGCGGGGCCAGGAGGAGGAAGGAACAGGUCCUGCGCUCUGUCCCACAGCCUGUAAUGCCACAUCGUCACAGAUCACAGCACACACUGUCUCCAUGGUGACUGUGCAGCUCCACAAACCUUGGUAGGCACUGAACUUACACAGUGCCUAGAAGGGAAGUGUCCAUUCCAGCAGCCUAAGCACCGCGGUACUUUCAGGCUGGGAAUCCUCGGGGCCAGCUUUAAUGGGCUUGAGGGAAGAAGAGGCUUCGUGUCCUGGUCGCUGGCAGCCCAUGCACUCAGCAGGAGGUGGCCACCUUGCAGACGUGGCUUCUAGCUGGUGUGUAGCUGCCCCUUCAGUGGACCUUCCUCACCACAGCUGCUGCUGGGUGCCCACGCCGUCAGAGGAGUACAAAGCACAGCUGUGUUCAAUCCCGAUGGAGCGCAUUUCCAGUUUCACACCAGGAACCCUUUAAAUGUGGAAGGACUGCUUCAUCGCAAAUCCCUGAAGCAGGCUUUAGUCCAAAAUUCAGUCAGAACGAGAAGCCUCCCUGUGCGUGUGGCCUUUCCGUCAGUCCCUCCUGUAUCCACCACUCAGGAAGCAGAGGUGCUCACUGGAGCUCUGUCCCACAGGGCACCAGGAUGCAGGUGACCUGCAUGGUGCAGGGUGGAGGCCCUUCCUCGCUCAGGUCCAUGAAAGACACGGGCAUACGUGUAGGUAAAGAAAUAAGCCCAGCGGUCAGCCCAGGGUCCUGUCGGUAACACAGACUCGUUCCCUAGUUCCCCACCAGCACCCUGAGCGCCCAGGUCUGUGCCGGGGCUCGAGGGAACGUCUGCAGCCACGCGGGAAGGCCCAGUCACACGGCACCCGUCAGGGUCGGGAACACCCUGCGGUCCCUUCUGUGAGGUUGCUGCCCAAGGUGUGGGCCAGGAUGCCAUCCCGAGGACGCUCUGAAACACCUCGCCUGCGGUUUUCCAAACGGCCUCGGCCGAGAAGUCAAGGAAAGACACGUGAAGGUUUGGGAGGAGAAGUCACAGGGUCUUGACUUAACAUCUGGGCAGCCGUCUUCAACGUGAACGCCACCUUAUGAGGUAAGGUUCGCUUUCCUGUUCUUCCCCUGACCCGCACUCCCGCCCCCAUUAGUGACCUACCCCAUGUACCAUGACCCCAAGCCAAUCCCAGAGGGACAAUCCCUUGACUCUGGGAAGCCCCCCGGAGCCAUCGACCUGAGCCAAUCCCAUGCUGUUCCCACCCACCUAGCUCUGACCCCAGACCCCCAGCCUCUCCCACAGCGCCACAGCUACACCGCCAAACCCCUGAACCCCCGACAUCUCAGGCCUCUCUCCAUCUAGGGACAGAUGGCCUUACUGGUCAGCGCUGACCGAUAACCCUUGUGUGGACUCUGCCUGGUCCCUCCUUCAUUUCCCGCUCACCCCUCUCUUGCUCUCUCACUUCCCUUUCAGAAGUGGCCUGAGGUGAAAAUAUGUGCGUGUCCCCUGGCCAGUGGUCAGUGCCUGGACAGGUGAUUCCCCACGGGGGACACCUUCCUCCCAUUCAGGCUGGACUUGGCAAAGCUAGAGCUCUUGGCCCCCAGGGGAUGUGGGUUCUUUCCAGGAGGUAGGGUAAGGGUCCCAGUGGGCAUUUCUGGUUGCUGGUGGGCACUUCGACUCUGCGUCCCUAGGGGUCAGCAGUCGGGCAGAGGGGUUGUCCUCUUAGCAGCUAAGUGACCCUGCGAGCAGAGGAGAGGUUGCUGUUUAGGUGACACCAGGCCUGGGCUCCAGCGGGGGUCAGGUGCUGGGCCUCUUGGAACAUGCUUGUCCAGUCCUGGGCUCCAGCGGGGGUCAGGUGCUGGGGUCUCUUGGAACAUGCUUGUCCAGUCCUGGGCUCCAGUGGGGGUCAGGUGCUGGGUCUCUUGGAACAUGCUUGUCCAGUCCUGACUGUGCCUGGGGUCUAGCGAGGCUGGGCAGGGGCCCAGAUCCUCCAGUUUCAGUUUCCCAGGGCUAAAGCAGAACUCCGUUCCCUCCGGAAGCCCGAGAUCCCGUGGUCAGCCGGGCCUUGCUCCGCUGAGACGGCCGGGAGGACGUUCUCUGCCUCACCCAGCUUCGGGCUCCUCGUCUUUGGCUUAUGGAUGGUCACUGCAGCCUCUGGCAGAGUGCCUCAUCCUGGGCCCAACCAGUCACUUCCCAAAGAGCCCCAUUCUGGGGGAGGGCGGGAGCACCCCGCUAGUGGACUCGCGGGGCUGCGGUCCAGGUCUCGGGGUGGGACACGCGCAGCCCAGAUCUCAGGGCUGCCCUGCAGCAGGGGGCGGGGGUGAUAUUCUGUACAUGUCACUUUCCUUUGUGUCUUUGUCAUGGAACACCACUCCUGGGGUCAGCCCAUCACCUCUUUUACUGACUCAGAGAUGAAACUGAAGGUGUGACCCCUGCCGGACAGGAAGUCUCUGCUGGGCUUCUGCGUCUCGGUGGACCCUCUGUAGGACAGGUCUCUUCCCCUCCCAGGGAAACGAUUCCGUCCUUAUUUAUGUGGAGCUCAUCUCUGUUUCCACACGGGCGGGAAGUGACAUUGUACUGAGGUCAGAGGCUGCCUCUGUCCUGUGCGAUCGUAGAGCCCAGCUCCACGGCUGGCCACUGACAGAGGCCAGACACUCCUUUCAGGCAGGUCCCAGUUCCAGAGGUCCCUGCCGAGCAUCUGCUCUCCGCUUCUAGGAUGGCCCCUUGGAGGGCACCUCCUCAAGUGGGGACGCCGUCUGUGCAUGGCAGCUGGGGGACAGUGAGCCCUGGCCAUUAAGUUUCAACACGUGCCACAGCCCUGACUUUCUUUAGAAAACCAAAAGUACCAGCUGGUGCUCUUUUGUCCACAGGUGAUUCCAACUUUAACCGUCUUAAUUAAAAGGGUAAUUGGUUAGAUGACUUGCUGAGGUUCUCAGGCAUGGAUUCAGGCAUGGCUGGAUCCAGGAACUCAAAUGUUAAAUCCGGUCAGGAUGCUCCCUUCCCAUUCUGUCGCCCUCUAUCUGAGCUGGCGGCCUCUGCUGGGUUCACAAGAUCUGACUGUUCCAGUAACUUCAGAAACGGCGAAGAAAGUGCUCGACACACAGAAGUACUUUUCAAACUCUGAGGAUGGCUCUGGGACCUUAGGGGUCCGUGGAAAGAGAGAGAGCCACUGGGACUCUUUAUUCUUAUAUAGGGGUCACACAAGGGGAGGUUCCAUGGAAACAGGGAAGAGGGGUGGGAUUACAGAGGAACAGGUGGGCGGAGCUCAACCCCAUGGUGACACCUGCUCCUGGAGCCGCCUCCUCAUCCCAGCAGGAGGGCCCAGUGUACUGCGGGGGCAGUAACUGUCCAGCAGCCCUUCACCAGGACUUGGAGGGUGACAUAGCUUCUGUCCACAGCGGCUCUGGACACCGUUCCCCUCCAGGAUCCCUUCCCUUUAAAG